rnacentral:rRNA from 1 species
UAAAUAGCCCUGCUGGCUUCGGCUGGUGGCAGGCUUCUUAGAGGGACUAUCGGCUCAAGCCGAUGGAAGUUUGAGGCAAUAACAGGUCUGUGAUGCCCUUAGAUAUCCUGGGCUGCACGCGCGCUACACUGACGGGGCAGCGAGUUUUUUUCCUUGAUCGAAAGGU